rnacentral:lncRNA from 1 species
GUCUAGUUACAGUCCCAUUGCAGUCCAAAUUUAUUUACAAUGAGGAUAUUAACAAAUUCAAGGAAACUACUUGAAAUAUAAAACAUAAAUAACAAAAUCUACAACCAAAAUCAUGAAACAAACUUCAUUUCAUAUUUCCACUUGAUAUCUACAAUGCAUUGUAUUCAGGAAGUGUACCUGGGCUGGAAGUUACAACAAUGAAGAAGGAGAAAUCAGUAGCAACAGACAACAGUAACAACAAUUUCGACUUUAUUCCAACCAGGAAAUGUUGUAGAAUAACCCAAGAAGUGAUUUAAUCAAAUAACACCAGUAGAUAGACUCAAAAUCAGCUUGAAUGACCAAAUUGAAGCUCAGAGAUCAAUCAGGAACUCAGAAACUCAGCUUGAAUAACUAUUUUCAACCUUGUGAAAACUGAAAAUUGAUCUAACAACUGGAACACAAAAAUUACCCUAAAAACUUCGAUGGAAUAGUAUUUUUUAGAGUUUUUGGCUGCCUGAAAACUUCAGAAUUUUGCAGUAUUUGUAAGGCUAUUUAUUUUGAUUUUUUGAAUACUUUCAUCACUAGACUUCUAGGAACUUCUUUUUGGAUUUUAAGAUUUUCCAGCUUUUUAACUUUUGUGUGUGUUUCCAGAUUUCAAGCUUCUAAUCCCUUUGAAAGGCAAAUUUGCAAUGCCUUCCAGAUUUUUCACAUUUUUAACUUUUGUGUGUGUUUCCAGAUUUCAAGCUUCUAAUCCCUUUGAAAGGCAAGUUUGCAAUGCCUUUAUAGGCAAGCCAAUCGAGCAGCCCUCAGAUUUCAAUUUUAACCCUUAGCCCCUCUUUUAUUUUUC